CGAUAGCAAUCGGGAUACGCGACAUCAUUUUGUGUUUGCAGCUGCAAACGCAAAAGAUAAAGCAGAUAGCGAGUUCUUAA
rnacentral:misc_RNA from 1 species